rnacentral:rRNA from 1 species
GGGUCCUACGGGGGGCAGCAGUGAGGAAUAUUGGUCAAUGGCCGAGAGGCUGAACCAGCCAAGUCGCGUGAGGGAUGACGGCCCUACGGGUUGUAAACCUCUUUUGUCAGGGAGCAACGCCGGCUACGUGUAGCCGGACUGAGAGUACCCGAAGAAAAAGCAUCGGCUAACUCCGUGCCAGCAGCCGCGGUAAUACGGAGGAUGCGAGCGUUAUCCGGAUUUAUUGGGUUUAAAGGGUGCGUAGGCGGUCCGUUAAGUCAGCGGUAAAAUUGCGGGGCUCAACCCCGUCGAGCCGUUGAAACUGG